GAAUGCUGACAUAAGUAACGAUAAAGCGGGUGAAAAGCCCGCUCGCCGGAAGACCAAGGGUUCCUGUCCAACGUUAAUCGGGGCAGGGUGAGUCGACCCCUAAGGCGAGGCCGAAAGGCGUAGUCGAUGGGAAACGGGUUAAUAUUCCCGUACUUGGUGUUACUGCGAAGGGGGGACGGAGAAGGCUAUGUUGGCCGGGCGACGGUUGUCCCGGUUUAAGCGUGUAGGUGUGUGUUCCAGGUAAAUCCGGUUCACUUUAACACUGAGGCGUGACGACGAGGCACUACGGUGCUGAAGCAACAAAUGCCCUGCUUCCAGGAAAAGCCUCUAAGCAUCAGGUAACAUCAAAUCGUACCCCAAACCGACACAGGUGGUCAGGUAGAGAAUACCAAGGCGCUUGAGAGAACUCGGGUGAAGGAACUAGGCAAAAUGGUGCCGUAACUUCGGGAGAAGGCACGCUGACACGUAGGUGAAGUGAUUUACUCAUGGAGCUGAAGUCAGUCGAAGAUACCAGCUGGCUGCAACUGUUUAUUAAAAACACAGCACUGUGCAAACACGAAAGUGGACGUAUACGGUGUGACGCCUGCCCGGUGCCGGAAGGUUAAUUGAUGGGGUCAGCGCAAGCGAAGCUCCUGAUCGAAGCCCCGGUAAACGGCGGCCGUAACUAUAA
rnacentral:rRNA from 1 species